rnacentral:rRNA from 1 species
UACGUAGGGGGCAAGCGUUGUCCGGAUUUACUGGGUGUAAAGGGCGCGUAGGUGGGUUUGUAAGUCAGAGGUGAAAUCCUGCAGCUUAACUGUAGAACUGCCUCUGAUACUGCAAAUCUUGAGUUCAGAAGAGAGAAGCGGAAUUCCAGGUGUAGUAGUGAAAUACGUAGAUAUCUGGAAGAACACCAGUGGCGAAGGCGGCUUCUUGGUCUGUAACUGACACUGAGGCGCGAAAGCGUGGGGAGCAAACAGG